UCCGCCUCAACGAGCUGCUCAGUGAAUGUCAGGGAACAGACAGAAUGCAGAAGUGCUUGCAGAGGCUUAAACAUAGUCUUAGGACAGCCGGUUUAGGAUUAAGAGGAAUUGCUUUUUUCUCCUGGCUUAGUUCUUAAAAUCAUCCACAGCAUCUAAGUGAAUCUGGACCAUCCAGAAGCAGUAGUGAGCCUGAGUUAGUCAGUUUGAGAGGUCAUCGGGAUUCACUCCCCAGCUUCCCCAUUUAACACGCGAGAGCUGUGCAGUUUUGUGCAUCGACUUCAAUGGAAGGAUCCAAAUUCCACCUGUGUUCUGAGUGGGACUCCCUCCAAUACCAAGUCAGGAAAGCAGGAAGAGGGCACAGUGAACUCCACUUCCCGUUUCCCUGGCCCUGCCUCCCGGCUGCAGCUGCCCCACCCCCAACACAGCUAUAGACCAUAAGUUUCACUGGAAACCAGAAGCUCAUCCAGUUAUCUCUGUAUGGAACAACUUCCUGGUGCAAUAAAGAUUUGGGGGCCACU
rnacentral:lncRNA from 1 species